GACGAACGCUGGCGGCGUGCUUAACACAUGCAAGUCGAACGGAAAGGCCCUGCUUUUGUGGGGUGCUCGAGUGGCGAACGGGUGAGUAACACGUGAGUAACCUGCCCUUGACUUUGGUAUAACUUCAGGAAACUGGGGCUAAUACCGGAUAGGAGCUCCUGCUGCAUGGUGGGGGUUGGAAAGUUUCGGCGGUUGGGGAUGGACUCGCGGCUUAUCAGCUUGUUGGUGGGGUAGUGGCUUACCAAGGCUUUGACGGGUAGCCGGCCUGAGAGGGUGACCGGCCACAUUGGGACUGAGACACGGCCCAGACUCCUACGGGAGGCAGCAGUGGGGAAUAUUGCACAAUGGGCGGAAGCCUGAUGCAGCAACGCCGCGUGCGGGAUGACGGCCUUCGGGUUGUAAACCGCUUUCGCCUGUGACGAAGCGAAAGUGACGGUAAUGGGUAAGGAAGCGCCGGCUAACUACGUG
rnacentral:rRNA from 1 species